rnacentral:lncRNA from 1 species
AGAGGGAGAGGAGAUGAAAUGGGGCACUGUGAUUUGGAGGGGGAGCAGAACAGAAGAUGAGAUGAUUAAGUCAUUAUGAUGGUUUUCUAUGGUGGGGGUGGGAGAGCGUUCGAGGAGGAGAUAACUUUGAGACAGCACGGCACGGAUGGGGACCUUUUGAACGAGUGAAAUUGAGGUGCUGGUACCAUCGCCAGUAGGUGGCAAUCACAACGACAGGCGUCAAUUCAAGAAUCCGGGCAUAUCUUACUAUGUCCUUGGAUUCUUAGAUUGGC